CCAAAAGUUAAUAUAAUUAAAAAAAUGAUCCGACAUCUUACGGAUCAAAUUAAUAAUCACAAUAAUUUUAGGGAAGACCCUGUGGAUAAUGCCUACAAAAUCCAUGAAAUAAAGAUCACUCCUAAACUUAAAAGAAAUAAAUAAAAUAAAGUAAAUAGAAAAAGAAAAUAAAACUACCUAAUUUCCCUUUCCUUUUCUUUUUUUUGUUUUUCUUUUCCUGCUUUCUUCACCCACGGCUGAGCGGCUUCGGUGGAUCACCGGAGGUUGGGUCGUCGGCGUUUAGAGCUCCGGCGAGGACCAGCAACAAGUGGAUUGGUAGCGAGCGGUCCGGCGGUAGCAGCAGGUCGCGGGUGGCGUCGGGACGAGCUCGCGGGUGCAGAGGGAUUCCGGCGGCGUGGUGGGCGGAUCGCGGACAGAGCAAAGGGA
rnacentral:lncRNA from 1 species